GAUGAACGCUGGCGGCGUGCCUAACACAUGCAAGUCGAACGAAGCACCUUACCUGAUUCUUCGGAUGAAGGUCUGGUGACUGAGUGGCGGACGGGUGAGUAACGCGUGGGUAACCUGACCUGUACAGGGGGAUAACAGUUGGAAACGGCUGCUAAUACCGCAUAAGCGCACGAGAGGACAUCCUCUUGUGUGAAAAACUCCGGUGGUACAGGAUGGGCCCGCGUCUGAUUAGCUGGUUGGCAGGGUAACGGCAUACCAAGGCGACGAUUAGUAGCCGGUCUGAGAGGAUGAACGGCCACAUUGGAACUGAGACACGGUCCAAACUCCUACGGGAGGCAGCAGUGGGGAAUAUUGCACAAUGGGGGAGACCCUGAUGCAGCAACGCCGCGUGAGUGAAGAAGUAUUUCGGUAUGUAAAGCUCUAUCAGCAGGGAAGAUAAUGACGGUACCUGACUAAGAAGCUCCGGCUAAAUACGUGCCAGCCGCCGCCGUAACAC
rnacentral:rRNA from 1 species